rnacentral:misc_RNA from 1 species
UCUCUCUCUCUCUCUCUCUCUUUGCCCAAAGCUGUAAAACAGUACACACCUUUACACUUCCCCACCCACAUCACCAUAACCCUUCAUCUUGUAGUAAUGGAUUUCGCCGCUCUCGUUUCCCACCUCCACUUCUUUCCUUUUCUUUCUCACCUUCCUUUUUUCUGUGUCCUAGGCAACUCUCCUGAAUAAUUUCUACUCUCGCUCUCUCUUUCUUUCUAAUUAUUAUGGGUUAUCUCUCUUGCAAUGCAGAGUCUGCAAUAGCCACCUGCGAUCCCUACAACUGGGAUCGCAAGAGAAGGAAAAAUAAAACCAACGGAAACAAACCCAAUAAGCCCAUUAAGAUCAGGGACUUCACUUACCCGGAGCUAUUAAAAGCCACCAAUGGGUUCUCCGCUGAGAGUUUUCUUGGCAAAGGCAGCCACGGGUGCGUCUAUAAAGCUUCUCUAGACGAUGGUAAGCUUAUAGCCGCCGUCAAGAAGACCUAUCGAAACCCAUCAAUAAGCAUCCACAGUAACUGCACCACUUGCACAACUCCUGCAGAGAACGAGAUUGAGAUACUCUCCAGAGUACAGCACCCGAGGCUCGUUAACCUCAUAGGCUUCUGCGUAGAUUCUAAAGACAGGAAAUUACUAGUUGUAGAAUACAUGCCAAAUGGUUCUUUAUACGAUCUUUUACACUGUAGCUCCAGGCCGCCCAGUUGGACCAGGCGUAUCCGGUUUGCUUUGCAAAUAGCCAAGGCUGUUCAAGCUUUGCACUUGGCGAACACGCCGGUGAUUCACAGAGACAUAAAAUCGUCAAAUGUGUUGAUCGACGAGAACUGGAACGCGAGGCUUGGAGAUUUCGGGCUCGCCUUGAGAGGACACGUGGAGGAUGUACGAGUCAAGUGCACGCCGCCGGCAGGGACUUUAGGGUACCUUGACCCAGGUUAUCUUGCGCCGAGCGAUUUAAGCACCAAGAGCGACGUUUUCAGUUUUGGGAUCCUACUGUUGGAGGUGAUCAGUGGCAGAAAUGCAAUUGAUGUCAACUACAGCCCACCAUCUAUCGUCGACUGGGCAGUACCGUUGAUAAAGCGCGGGGAUUUCUCCAGUAUUUGUGAUCAUAGAAUCGGGUCGCCGGUGGACCCUGGAGUGAUAAAGAAUCUGGCAAUUCUAGCGGCCAGGUGUGUGAGAUCCACUACGGAGAAGCGUCCCGGAAUGACAGAGGUAGUUGAGGGAUUGAAAAUUAUAAGUAAGAGAGUUCAUGCGCCGCACAUAUGGAAUAGCUUGAGGAGGCGCGUGGGACUAGCGGAAGAAUCGCGGCCAUUUGAGGCGGCAAUUGAUUCAAAUGAAGAGGUUGUUAACGCUAACAAGGCUACUAGUAGAGUGGGGAGCAGAAGAAACAGAAAAGUAUCGAGUGUUUCGAGUGUAGAGUUUGGAAAUGAAACGAUUGGAUGGGCAGGGGAGCGGGUAAUCAGAUCAAAAUCCAUUGGUUCAUUCGGCGAUACAAAACUGGAUGGAUCUGAAUCAAGAAGGAAUGCAAGUGUAGCAGUGAAAAUCCCACUAGUGAAGCUGAGCAAGUCAAGGUCCACGGGAGUACUUCACAGAAGCAUCAAAUCCAGAGAAAUUGAGGCCUCUAUUUCUGAGCUGUUAAUAAGGUUGGACGAGAAGUCAGAGAAAGAGAUGCAAGAGAAGCCACUGGUGAUCUCCAUCUAAAAAACUUGUUGGAUUUGUUUUGAGUUGAUGAAUUUUGAGUAUUCGACCCUGGUGGGUUUUGUUUAUUGGGAUUCAUCAACCCACAACAGAAUCUCUAUAAUCAAUCCAGAAUUCCAAAUUCUUUUGCAUUGGAAUUGUUUUUCUUUUCUUUUUUUUCUACAUUCAAGUUUGUAAUUCUCAGCAUGUCAUCAAUAUUUUCUAAAAUCUAAAAUCUCAGUUUGAAGGGAGUUAACCAUUGUAGGGCAUCAAUGAUGUAGUAUCAAUCAAGUUAAUUGAGAAUAUGUGGUCAAUGCGAACCGUUAUCUAAGCCCUACAAGAGAAGAGUUGGUGUUGUAGCUAACUUCCAAAAACAUUUAAUGCAGAGGGGGGUGCUCAUGACUCUCGUUCGGAAGACAGGCAAACUGUUUGUAUUGCAGAUACAAGCCUGAAGUCAAGGAUUUAACAUUUAAGCCUUCAAAUCCAACAUAUUUUUCUUGAAUAUGCCUUUGAUUUCUUC